rnacentral:rRNA from 1 species
AGUGAACGCUGGCGGUAGGCCUAACACAUGCAAGUCGAACGGCAGCACAGAGGAGCUUGCUCCUUGGGUGGCGUGUGGCGGACGGGUGAGGAAUACAUCGGAAUCUACUCUGUCGUGGGGGAUAACGUAGGGAAACUUACGCUAAUACCGCAUACGACCUACGGGUGAAAGCAGGGGAUCUUCGGACCUUGCGCGAUUGAAUGAGCCGAUGUCGGAUUAGCUAGUUGGCGGGGUAAAGGCCCACCAAGGCGACGAUCCGUAGCUGGUCUGAGAGGAUGAUCAGCCACACUGGAACUGAGACACGGUCCAGACUCCUACGGGAGGCAGCAGUGGGGAAUAUUGGACAAUGGGCGCAAGCCUGAUCCAGCCAUACCGCGUGGGUGAAGAAGGCCUUCGGGUUGUAAAGCCCUUUUGUUGGGAAAGAAAUCCAUCUGGUUAAUACCCGGGUGGGAUGACGGUACCCAAAGAAUAAGCACCGGCUAACUUCGUGCCAGCAGCCGCCGCAG